AACGUAGGAGACAAACGUUAUCCGGAGUUACUGGGCGUAAAGGGCGUGUAGGUGGUUUCGUAAGUCUGGCGUGAAAUUUUUCGGCUUAACCGGGAAAGGUCGUCGGAUACUGCUAAACUAGAGGACGGUAGAGGCGUGUGGAAUUCCGGGUGUAGUGGUGAAAUGCGUAGAGAUCCGGAGGAACACCAGUGGCGAAGGCGACACGCUGGGUCAUACCUGACACUAAAACGCGACAGGAUGGGGAGCGAACGGG
rnacentral:rRNA from 1 species